rfam:Oryza glaberrima chromosome 6 Oglab06_unplaced143_4, whole genome shotgun sequence.
AAUAAGUGCAGCCAUGGAUAUCCGUGCCCAAUGUUUAACCGUCCGUCUUAUUUGAAAAAUUUGUGAAAAAUUUGAAAAUAUUUAGUCACACAUAAAGUAAUAUUCAUGUUUUAUCAUCUAAUAGCAAUAAAAAUACUAAUCAUAAAAAAAUUUCAAAUAAGACGAACGGUCAAACGUUGAACGUAAAUAGUGUAAAACUGCACUUAUU